rnacentral:rRNA from 1 species
UACGUAGGGACCGAGCGUUGUCCGGAAUCAUUGGGCGUAAAGAGCGUGUAGGCGGCCUUUUAAGUCCUGCGUGAAAUCCUGCGGCUCAACCGCAGACGGUCGUGGGAAACUGGAAGGCUAGAGUGCGGGAGAGGAGAGUGGAAUUCCCGGUGUAGCGGUGAAAUGCGCAGAUAUCGGGAAGAACACCCGUGGCGAAGGCGGCUCUCUGGAACGCAACUGACGCUGAGACGCGAAAGCGUGAGGAGCAAACAGG